AUAUUACUAAGGGGAGGAAAAGAAACUAACAAGGAUUCCCCUAGUAACGGCGAGUGAAGCGGGAAGAGCUCAAACUUGGAAUCCGUGGGUGUAGCAACUCAUGGAGAUGUAGUCUGGAGACGCUCUCUCAGUGCGAGACCGGUUAUAAGUCCCUUGGAAUGGGGCAUCAUAGAGGGUGAGAAUCCCGUACGUGAUUAGUGCCAGUGCCCGUGUAAAGCUCUUUCGACGAGUCGAGUUGUUUGGGAAUGCAGCUCAAAAUGGGUGGUAAAUUUCAUCUAAAGCUAAAUAUUGGCCAGAGACCGAUAGCGCACAAGUA
rnacentral:rRNA from 1 species